UACGGAGGGUGCAAGCGUUAUCCGGAUUCACUGGGUUUAAAGGGUGCGUAGGUGGGCAGGUAAGUCAGUGGUGAAAUCUCCGGGCUUAACCCGGAAACUGCCGUUGAUACUAUCUGUCUUGAAUAUAGUGGAGGUGAGCGGAAUAUGUCAUGUAGCGGUGAGAUGCUUAGAUAUGACAUAGAACACCCAUUGCGAAGGCAGCUCGCUACACUAUCAUUGACACUGAGGCACGAAAGCGUGGGGAUCAAACAGG
rnacentral:rRNA from 1 species